rnacentral:tRNA from 1 species
AGAAAGUUAGUCUAACUAAGACAGUUGAUUUCGACUCAACAGAUUAUAGCCGUCACCCUAUAACUUUCUU